rnacentral:rRNA from 1 species
CGAGCACGCGCGUGUGGCAUAUCAAUAAGCGGAGGAAAAGAAACUAACUAGGAUUCCCUUAGUAACGGCGAGUGAAGCGGGAAGAGCUCAAAUUUGAAAUCUUCAAGGUUCUACCUUGACGAAUUGUAGUUUAUAGAAGUGUUUUCUGUUAGUAGAGUGGCAAAAGUUCUUUGGAAUAGGACAUCAUAGAGGGUGAGAAUCCCGUAUUUGGUCAUUCCUCCUAGCGUUGUGAUACACUUUCAACGAGUCGGAUUGUUUGGGAAUGCAGUCCAAAAUGGGUGGUAAAUUUCAUCUAAAGCUAAAUAUUGGCGAGAGACCGAUAGCGAACAAGUACCGUGAGGGAAAGAUGAAAAGAACUUUGAAAAGAGAGUUGAACAGUACGUGAAAUUGUCAAAAGGGAAGCGUUUGACACCAGUGUUGUUUUUCCGAAAAUCAAUUACGAAUGUUUUAUUUUUGAGGAGUUAUGACUUCAUCGGCUUGCUCCUUUCUUUAUGAAACUUUCUUAAUGCACUUUUCGGUUAACAAGUCAACAUCAAUUUCUUUUGUUGUAAAAGGGUACUGAGGAAGGUGGCUUUCUUUUCGGAGAAAGUGUUUAUAGCCUUGUGCCUCUGCAAUCGGAGAGAUUGAGGUCUGCAGCGUAGAUCCUUCGGGGUUAGAUACGUUUGUGCUAAGUUAUAGCUUUUCAUAGACAACUUGUUGACUAUGUUUAGUCUUGUAGCUUACUCGCUUAUGCUAUUUUACCUACGCUUAGGAUGUUGAGCGCAUGUCUCUCUCU